GAAAUGCGAUAAGUAAUGUGAAUUGCAGAAUUCAGUGAAUCAUCGAAUCUUUGAACGCACCUUGCGCCCUUUGGCUAUUCCGAAGGGCAUGCCUGUUUGAGUAUCAUGAACACCUCAACUCUCAUGGUUUGCCGUGAUGAGCUUGGACUUUGGGGGUCUUGCUGGCCUAUGGGUCGGCUCCUCUCAAAUGAAUCAGCUUGCCAGUGUCUGGUGGCAUCACAGGUGUGAUAACUAUCUACGCUUGUGGUUUUCCAUCAGGUAACCUUCAGUGAUGGAGGUUCGCUGGGGCUCAUAAAUGUCUCUCCUCAGUGAGGACAGCUUUUUGAACGUUUGAUCUCAAAUCAGGUAGGACUACCCGCUGAACUUAAGCAUAUCAAUAAGCGGAGGAAAAGAAACUAACAAGGAUUCCCUAGUAAC
rnacentral:rRNA from 1 species